GAUGUUCGCGGUCGGUGAUUAUUGGCACUUGGCGGACAAAAAUGGAGGCGGAGUGCACGAAACUGGCCAAACUGUUGGUGGAACUCGAGCCCCUCAAAACGGUGUAGCAUUGGAAGCACACAUGGCGCGACCUAAAGAAGAAGGCCCGGGACGAGGCGCGUCCCCAGCCCGUGUUGCCAUAGUCAGAACUGGGAACACUACUAGGGACCAGGAGCCGGUCGCAGCCAGGCACUGCAACCAUCGUCAACGGCAGGCACAUACUUUGGAUUUGGACGCUGCCUCAAUGUAUAUUGAGGGACAAAAGUAGCAGAUGCUACUCCUGAAGGAGCUGGUUGCAGCAUAAAAAUGCAGAAUGUACGCAGACAAUUAAAAAGAAAUCAGCCUACACCAUCGAAAAAUAUAUUUGUAGUGGUUUGAUAAUAUUGAUGGAAUCUUGAUAGUUGCGAGAGUUUCAAGGUACAAAGGCUAAUCAAAUUUUGCAACCACUUGAAACAGAAUUUUUUAAGGCUAACUGUAAAACACCCUAAAUAAAUCAAAUGUAUUAAUUUUAAAAUGUAUGGUUCAAAAUCAUCGUCAAUCAUGAUAUUCUACCUGUCUUAAUAGGACACCAAAUUAAAAUUCGUAUGAUUUUACUUUCCAUUCUUGUGAAUAAUAACUAUCCAACUAAUUUUGAAACAUAAAUAAAUGUUAUAAUUAUAAAUUAAUUGAUUUGAUUUAGUUUGAUAUUUUACAGUUAGAUUUUUUUUUUGAGUACCUAGGUGUGGUGAACAAUUGUGUUUCACACAAAAAAUGCUUCACCUUCGUUGCUUGAAACUCUUCGCUCUAGAUUCCAUUUUUCUAAUAUAACUUACCACAACAAUGAUUGUAGAAUAAAGUUCACUUGAAUUUAUGGUGCUUUUCCCAUAGAACUUUGACUGAACAUAGCCAUAUACCUAAAAUUUAUUUUGUUUUUGUUCACCAUUAUAGUACUUGAUAAAGUUUAUGGGCAAACAUUGUUUUAAAUUUAGAGUUUAUUAAGUAUAAAUUGAUUAUAAACAAAUAACUAGUAAUUAUUAGGUUUGCUUG